rnacentral:lncRNA from 1 species
AUGAUGGACUACAGAGAAGAGACUGGGCAGGCUCAAAUCCUCAAAGCACAAAGUGACACAGCCUACUUAUCCUAUCCAAAGUGGACUUGCACACUACCCAACACUACUUCAAGAUGUGCUCCCGGGCACCACUACCUCAUCUAUAGUAUGGCCAGCGUGCACCACGGACCAAGGGACAAAAGGAUGACACCAAGAUGCCCAAAAGAAGAAAUGAACAACAGAAAUCAUAAGCAGCAUACAAGAACUACUAAGAGAGAGAAGCAAAGGAGAAGAGUGAACAACUUAUGCAAAGGUCCCACAUCAGCUCCCAGGGACACAGCCUCAUGCACUGAACAACUCUAG